rnacentral:tRNA from 1 species
GUCAGGGUGGAGCAGCCCGGUAGCUCGCUUGGCUCAUAACCAAGUGGACGCAGGUUCAAAUCCUGCCCCUGCA